rnacentral:lncRNA from 1 species
GAGAAAUACAAAAUUUGAAUGUACAGGAUCUGUUCUGAGUUCAGAAUGUUUAAGCUCAAGCUUUCCAUAUAAAUCAUGCUCCAAAAGUUAGGUAAGAAAAUAUUUCCUUUUUUGUGUUGAAUAGAAGGACAAGUGAUAUUAAUUUUCUGGUUAAAAACAAUUCUUUAACUUACAUGAAGCAUAAAGUGUUUUCAAAGCACUUUCAUAUCCAUUUUCAUUUUGUCCUCAUCCAUUCCUAUUGACCAUUAUCUCC